rnacentral:rRNA from 1 species
GCGGAGGAAGGUGGGGAUGAUGUCAAGUCAGCAUGGCCUUUAUAUCCUGGGCUACACACACGCUACAAUGGCCAACACAAUAGGUUGCUAAGCCGCGAGGUGGCGCCAAUCCAUAAAGUUGGUCUCAGUUCAGAUUGUAGGCUGCAACCCGCCUGCAUGAAGAUGGAGUUGCUAGUAACCGCAGGUCAGCUAUACUGCGGUGAAUACGUUCCCGGGGCUU